rnacentral:rRNA from 1 species
AUUGAACGCUGGCGGCAGGCCUAACACAUGCAAGUCGAGCGAGCGGCGGACGGGUGAGUAAUGUAUGGGGACUGCCCGAUAGAGGGGGAUAACUACUGGAAACGGUGGCUAAUACCGCAUACUAUCGGAUAACCCAUAUGGGAUUAGCUAGUAGGUGGGGUAAAGGCUCACCUAGGCGACGAUCUCUAGCUGGUCUGAGAGGAUGAUAAGCCACACUAGGACUGAGACACGGCCCCAGCUCCUACGGAGGCAGCAGUUGGGAAUAAUGCACAAUGUGCGCAAGCCUGAUGCAGCCAUGCCACAUGUAUGAAGAAGGCCUUAGGGAUGUAAAGUACUUUCAGCGGGGAGGCGUUACCCGCAGAAGAAGCACCGGCUAACUCCGUACCAGCAGCCGCAGUAAUAC